rnacentral:rRNA from 1 species
UGGGGAAUUUUGGACAAUGGGCGAAAGCCUGAUCCAGCGACGCCGCGUGGGUGAAGAAGGCCUGCGGGUUGUAAACCACUUUUGUCAGGGAAGAAACGGCCUGAUCUAAUACAUUGGGUUAAUGACGGUACCUGAAGAAUAAGCACCGGCUAACUACGUGCCAGCAGCCGCGGUAAUACGUAGGGUGCGAGCGUUAAUCGGAAUUACUGGGCGUAAAGCGUGCGCAGGCGGCUUUGCAAGACAGAUGUGAAAUCCCCGGGCUCAACCUGGGAACUGCAUUUGUGACUGCAAGGCUAGAGUACGGUAGAGGGGGAUGGAAUUCCGCGUGUAGCAGUGAAAUGCGUAGAUAUGCGGAGGAACACCGAUGGCGAAGGCAAUCCCCUGGACCUGUACUGACGCUCAUGCACGAAAGCGUGGGGAGCAAACAGGAUUAGAUACCCAAGUAGUCCCUGAGCGGGCUGGCAAGGCGCAU